UACGAAGGGAGCUAGCGUUGUUCGGAAUCACUGGGCGUAAAGCGCACGUAGGCGGAUUUGUCAGUCAGGGGUGAAAUCCCGGGGCUCAACCUCGGAACUGCCUUUGAUACAGCAAGUCUUGAGUUCGAGAGAGGUGGGUGGAAUUCCUAGUGUAGAGGUGAAAUUCGUAGAUAUUAGGAAGAACACCGGUGGCGAAGGCGGCCCACUGGCUAGAUACUGACGCUGAGGUGCGAAAGCGUGGGGAGCAAACAGG
rnacentral:rRNA from 1 species